ACCUACCGCUGCCAAUCUAUCUAUCACUGCUAAUCUAUCGCUGCUAAUCUAUCGCUGCUAAUCUAUCGCUGCUAAUCUAUUGCUGCUAAUCUAUCGCCGCCAAUCUACCUACUGCUGCCAACCUACCUACCGCUGCCAACCUAUCUAUCGCUGCCAACCUAUAUAGGGUAAAUCAUGGUCCCAUUUGGUCCCAUUUUGUAAAAUGGGAUCAAAUGGGACCAGAAUCACUAAUUUAUUAGUAAAACAUGAUCUGGGACUAGAUUUAUAAUAUAAACAGUGUAAAGUGACUAAUUUGCUAAACACUAUAUGAGACCAGGACUAAGAUAUCUAAUAAUGGAACUGAGGAAAAAUUUGGUCCCAGUCCCAUGCAUGGUCACACAGCCAGUCUAGUGUAAAGUGACUAAUUUACAAAACACUAUAUAAGA
rnacentral:sRNA from 2 species